rnacentral:rRNA from 1 species
UACGAAGGGGGCUAGCGUUGUUCGGAAUUACUGGGCGUAAAGGGCGCGUAGGCGGUGUGUCAAGUCAGGCGUGAAAGCCCCGGGCUCAACCUGGGAACCGCGCUUGAGACUGGCACGCUAGAGUUCGGGAGAGGAUGGUGGAAUUCCCAGUGUACGAGGUGAAAUUCGUAGAUAUUGGGAAGAACACCGAUGGCGAAGGCAGCCAUCUGGACCGACACUGACGCAU